UAAAUUGAGAGUUUGAUCCUGGCUCAGGACGAACGCUGGCGGCGUGCCUAACACAUGCAAGUCGAGCGAUGAAACCCUUCGGGGUGGAUUAGCGGCGGACGGGUGAGUAACACGUGGGUAACCUGCCUCAAAGAGGGGAAUAGCCUCCCGAAAGGGAGAUUAAUACCGCAUAAUAUGUUUUGGUCGCAUGACCUUUACAUCAAAGGAUUUUUCUUCGGAAAAUUCCACUUUGAGAUGGACCCGCGGCGCAUUAGCUAGUUGGUGAGGUAACGGCCCACCAAGGCAACGAUGCGUAGCCGACCUGAGAGGGUGAUCGGCCACAUUGGAACUG
rnacentral:rRNA from 1 species